rnacentral:lncRNA from 1 species
GGGUCCAUUUGUAGGUUGUGGAGGAUUUGAUCUUUUGCUCUUGGAAAUAAAUCUUGCUGCUGCGCGCGCUCUCUCUCUGGGUGCAUGCUGCUUUUAAGAGCUGUGAUACUCACCAGGAAGGUCCGUGGUUUCAUUCUGGAAGUCAGCGAGACCAAGAACCCACCAGAAGGAACCAACUACAGACACACUGCUAUAUGGUCCAGCUAUGUACAAACUGAAUCAAGAUUCUAUGUACAUCAGAAUCAAGAGAGAGUGAGUUCUUGACAUCACGGAGCGGUCUACAUUCUAGUUCAUGCGGUGGACCUGCUGGGUGGCCUCAGGACCUGAAAUAAAACCAUACGUUGGCUCUCCUGAGUCUCCACCUUCUUGACUGCAGAUUUGGGACUUCUCAGCCUCCAUAAAUAUAGUCUCCCUAUGUCUCCCAAGCUGGAGUGCAGUGGCGUGAUCUUGGCUCAUUGCAGCCUCCACCUCCCAGGUUCAAGUGAUUCUUCUCUCCCAGCCUCCCAAGUAGCUGGGAUUACAGGCUGGAGUGCAAUGGCGUGAUCUCAGCUCACUGCAACCUCCACCUCCUGGGUUCAAGAGAUUCUCCUGCGUCAGCCUCCCGAGUAGCUGGGAUUACAGGCAUGCACCACCACGCCUGGUUAAUUUUGUGUUUUUAGUAGAGAGAGGUUUCUCCUUGUUGGUCAGGCUGGUCUCGAACUCCCAACCUUAGGUGAUCUGCCCGCCUCGGCCUCCCAGAGUGCUGGGAUUACAGGUGUGAGGCACCGCGCCGGCCUAUUGCUUUUAUGUUCUCUACAGUCUCUGCAUGCCUCUGUUGGCUGCCAUCGGGGGCAGACCACUCCCACUGCCCAUCCUUGGACUCCACUGUUUUGGUUUCCCUGGGCAGUUACCCUCUGUCUGGGCAAGUGAAGAUUCUCAGCCUGAGCCCAAUAUCAACAAUGUUCCAGGCUGAAACAGCAGUAGCCAAUUGUCUGCCCAUUUCUGAACGGUUCUUACUAUUCUGGAACUGUAGUCCUUAUACUUUUUUUCUUUGCUUUCACAGUUCUGGAUUCCCUUAAAAAUACUAUUUCUGUGUUAAGUGUUUUCUAGCUGUCAGCACACAUGCUGUCUUACCGUGACCUAUUAUAUCUUUCUUGGAAACAGAAGGCACUACUGGUUUUUGAAUGCUGAUCUUAUAUUUU